AUACUUACCUGGAUGAGGUUGACUCUUGAUCAAUAAGAUGAGUGGCCUAAGCUAGUAAAUUCCAUUGCACAGUAAGGAAAGUGUUGGGGUCAAAAACGGUUACGACGAAGUUAACAUUCAAACGUCCUAAGAAGAAAAUGAGAACUUUCUUC
rnacentral:snRNA from 1 species